AUACUUACCUGGCAGGGGAGAUACCAUGAUCACGAAGGUGGUUUUCCCAGGGCGAGGCUUGUCCAUUGCACUCUGGAUGUGCUGACCCUGGCGAUUUCCCCAAAUGUAGGAAACUCGACUGCAUAAUUUGUGGUAGUGGGGGACUGCGUUCUUGCUUUCCCCUG
ensembl:snRNA U1 U1 spliceosomal RNA